UACCCGCAGCCCAAGUGGUGGUCGAUUUUAUUGAGUCUAAAACGUUCGUAGCUGGUUUAAUAAGUCUCUGGUGAAAUCCUGUAGCUUAACUGUGGGAAUAGCUGGAGAUACUAUUAGACUUGAGAUCGGGAGAGGUUAGAGGUACUCCCAGGGUAGAGGUGAAAUUCUGUAAUCCUGGGAGGACCGCCUGUUGCGAAGGCGUCUAACUGGAACGGUUCUGACGGUGAGGGACGAAAGUUAGGGGCGCGAACCGGAUUAGAUACCCGGGUAGUCCUAACUGUAAACGAUGCGGACUUGGUGUUGGGGUGGCUUUGAGCUGCUCCAGUGCCGAAGGGAAGCUGUUAAGUCCGCCGCCUGGGAAGUACGGUCGCAAGACUGAGACUUAA
rnacentral:rRNA from 1 species